GGGAAGGUGGCUCAGUGGUAGAGUACUUGCCUCAUAUGCAUGAGGCCCUGGGUUUGAUUCCUAAGCACCCCA
rfam:Dipodomys ordii contig_59346, whole genome shotgun sequence.